GACAGAGGGGGCAAGCGUUGCUCGGAAUUACUGGGCGUAAAGGGCGCGUAGGCGGAAUGGCAAGUCGGUCGUGAAAUCCUUCGGCUCAACCGAAGAACGUCGAUCGAAACUGCCGUUCUUGAGGAUUGCAGAGGAGACUGGAAUUCCCGGUGUAGCGGUGAAAUGUGUAGAGGUCGGGAGGAACACCGGUGGCGAAGGCGGGUCUCUGGGCAAUUCCUGACGCUGAGGCGCGAAAGCGUGGGGAGCAAACGGG
rnacentral:rRNA from 1 species